AUUUGGCACAGCUGUGAUUCAACUGCUCUGAGUCACAUGGGCUUGAGGCUGCCACGUCUGGCUGCACAGGCCCGUAUGUGGGUGUACGUCAUGAAUAGUAACCUCUGCUCCAACUCUGGGUCCAAAAGAGAGGUCAGGACAAUAGAAAGAGGACCAGAGUUCAGUUCCCAGCACCGACAUCUCAUGGCUCAAAACCGCCUAUGAUUCCAGCUCCAGGUGAUCUGACACCUUCUUCUAGCCUCUGGGCACCUGUUCUCACAUCCACAUACCCACCUGGAGACACAUACAAACACAUAGAUUGAUGUCUGAUGUCUGCUGCAUUCAUCCAAGGGACUCUGUGUUGCAUGAGAGAGCAGCAAAUUCUCAUGUACAAAGGAAUGCACACUCCCCCUAGGAGUGCCAAGUAAAACAUAGGAAAGACUAGCUUGCAAGGUUGUCCAUUCAGACUCACCCCACCAGCAUCUACUUGGAACUCCUGCCAUAUGGGUGUGUGACAGGAUACAAGGGAACCCAGCCAGCCUCCUGGAAAUAACGAUCUAGAGGGGAAAUGGAAAAUGACAGUCAUCCCAGAACACUGCUCUAUGGACGGGAUGAAUGAAGAGUUCAGUAGAAGAAAGCUUGGCUCUGCUCACUAACAGGGCUCCCCCAAUGUUCAAAGCACCACAGGGGUUCCUCUCUAGGCCAGCUAGCUCUGCCCAGAAUGAAGUCUCCUCUACCCCUGGCAUACCACAGUGGUACCCCUGCUCCAAGACGCCCUCUGUCUUCAUUGUGCUUUAUGCUCUUAGCUGUUAGCUCUUUCCUGGCACCUUUGACAUUAUCUACCUUGUACGGCCCCUCACAUGAGAGUGAGGGAUACAUCUGUACCCAGUAAGUGCUGUGCAGAUUCAAUCUGUAGGAAUUAAAUCCAACUGGAAAAUGUUAUUAGACAAAAUAAGGAAAGUAUGCAUUUGUAUUUGCUGGCAUGGAAGGAAGGAUUCCUAGAGAAAUCACAGCUACUCAGGAAGCUGACGCGGGAUCAAAAGUUUGAGG
rnacentral:lncRNA from 1 species